CCAACCAAAAGCAAAACACAUUAGGUCUACAAAAAUAAGAGAGAACACAUCUAAGAAUCCAAUCUGGGAAUGAAACCUUGAUUAAGUUUUGUCAGACAAGUCCCUUUGAGGCAUUCUGCCAAGCUCGUGGAAGGGAAGAUUCAGCAGCUCAUUGUAGCCAUUACUGUGGUUUUCUUGAGAGGAUGUAAUUGCCUACAUGAGCCCCCUUGGAUACAGCAGCAGUUGACAGAGCAGAAGAGAAGCAUAUUUAUCUAACUCAAGAACAACAGUAAUCAUUUGAACUCUUGCUGAGCAUAACUCUACUGCAUCGGGACACCAGCUGAUUUUACGCAUC